GGCCAGCUCCCCCACUAGAUGCUGGAGAUGCAAAGAGGAGGAAGACUCAACCCUCACUGUAGAAGACAAACUCCUGAGCAGGUCACAUCAUCAAAGGGGCUCCAGGCUUUGCAUUCAGACAACGUGGUUUGCAUCCCUGCUCCUGGAGGUGAGACUUUGAAAGGUAACUUGAUCUCCCUGAAUAUUGUUUUUCUCUUUUGUAGAACCGGCUAGUAAUACUCACCUCCCAGAUAGUUGUGAAGAUGAAGCAGGAUGAAAAUAGCUGUCACAUUCCCUGACACAAUGCAUACUCUCGAAGAAUAUUCUUUAUACUUUAUCUAGAGGCUUAAUUUCAGCUCUAACCUUGUUCUCCUUGAAAACCUUCUGCUAUACAGCCUUCUUAUCUUUCAUGAAUAUACUUUGUUCGUUGCACUGGCAUUCACAUAUUUUCAGGAUCACUUAGAUAUUCCUUAUUUGAAGUUUUUCUGGAGCAAUAUUCUAGGGAUUCCUCCAAAGACUAAGAUGCCAUUAAUCGUUAGGAUCUGAGAACUACCGACUCAAUAGCUUGGAAAUAUGAUUCACCUCUGAGACUAUAGAAUUAUCGCAGAGUGAGGAUCUGCUGACCUUGCCUCAGAUGGUUAUUGUGAGGACUAAAUGAGACAAGCUGUAAAGCCCUUAGCAUGAUGCCUAAACAUGAUGCUGUCGGUGAUGGACAGCUCUGUGCGUGCCAGCCAAGACAAUAACUUAUAAGCAGUAAUUACGUCAUAGAUUCUUUUCCAAUCAAAGUUUAGGGGAUAGGUAGAGAAUAGAGAUUGCAAAUGGGGUUUGACUCCUCCGCUCACAUGCUC
rnacentral:lncRNA from 9 species